GACGAACGCUGGCGGCGUGCUUAACACAUGCAAGUCGAACGGAAAGGCCCUGCUUGCAGGGUACUCGAGUGGCGAACGGGUGAGUAACACGUGGGUGAUCUGCCCUGCACUUCGGGAUAGGCCUGGGAAACUGGGUCUAAUACCGGAUAGGAGCCAUUUUUAGUGUGAUGGUUGGAAAGUUUUUUCGGUGUAGGAUGAGCUCGCGUCCUAUCAGCUUGUUGGUGGGGUAAUGGCCUACCAAGGCGGCGACGGGUAGCCGGCCUGAGAGGGUGGACGGCCACACUGGGACCGUGCGACGGCCAAGACUCCUACGGGAGGCAGAAGGGGGGAAAGUUGCACAAUGGGCGGCAGCCUGAGGCAGCGAGGCCGCCGGGGGGAUGACGGCCGUCGGGUGGUAAAAUCAUUUCGCUAGGGACGAAGCUUUUUGUGACGGUACCUAGAUAAGAAGCACCGGCUAACUACGUG
rnacentral:rRNA from 1 species